rnacentral:rRNA from 1 species
GACGAACGCUGGCGGCGUGCUUAACACAUGCAAGUCGAACGGAAAGGCCCUGCUUUUGUGGGGUGCUCGAGUGGCGAACGGGUGAGUAACACGUGAGUAACCUGCCCUUGACUUUGGGAUAACUUCAGGAAACUGGGGCUAAUACCGGAUAGGAGCUCCUGCUGCAUGGUGGGGGUUGGAAAGUUUCGGCGGUUGGGGAUGGACUCGCGGCUUAUCAGCUUGUUGGUGGGGUAGUGGCUUACCAAGGCUUUGACGGGUAGCCGGCCUGAGAGGGUGACCGGCCACCUGGGGACUGAGAGACGGACCAGACUCCUACGGGAGGCAGCAGGGGGGAAUAUUGCAGAAUGGGCGGAAGCCUGAUGCAGCAACGCCGCGUGCGGGAUGACGGCCUUCGGGUUGUAAACCGCUUUCGCCUGUGACGAAGCGUGAGUGACGGUAAUGGGUAAAGAAGCACCGGCUAACUACGUG